CCAUAACUACACCAUUGUGGAGCCAAAUCCACAAACAAAGCCUAACAACACGUCUGCAAUGAUCAUGGACCUCUGAUGUUGAUUAAUCUUUUCUCUUGACUUUGGAGCCUGACUGUUGCAAGAAGAAACCCCACCAGCCCCAAAGACAUAUUCCCUCAAUUUAACAGCAGACCAAGGUGUUUCUCCAGCAUCAUCGGAUCAAUGAAAACCCCAGGGACGAUGCUGAUUGCCAAAGA
rnacentral:lncRNA from 1 species